UGUAAAAAAAAAAGGUCUAUAGCAUGUUAGGUAUGUUAGGAAUGUUAGCUUAGUAUAGUGCGUGAUGAAAAAAGUCGUGUUAAAAAAAAAAAAAAAAAAGUCAAUAGUAUAGCAUGUUAGGUAUGUUAGGAAUGUUAGCCAAGUAUAGUGCGUGAUGAAAAGAUUUCGUGAUAAGUCAGGAUGUUAGCAGUGGACUUUUCACCAUCAUUUGAAAAGUAAAUGGUUACGUCACAAUAUAUAGUUUCAGUGCCUUGCUUUUGGCACACUUCAGCACAGUGGAAGCUUGAGAGUAAAACCAGGUCUUCUGGUUCAGGGCCAGUCUCCCAAAUCACUGUACCAACCUGCUGUAUGGAGUAUAAUCAUUUGCAUUGAACACAAUUGUAUGAAUCAUAAAUCUUUAAUAAAUAAAUAAAAUUAAAUGUUAUCAGAUCUCAA